GCCUGUGGAAAUCCGCGCGACUCUGGGGCCGAGGGGUUUCCAGCGGAUUUUUGCGUUGUUUUGUUUGCUCGGUCUCACAGGAGCCUACCGAGGCCUGUCUCUGGAACACCCUGUCAUGGAUCUCGACCCCCAGCGAGGUUCCCACGACUGCGGUUCACGUAGCUGACCUGUGUGCCGCGCCUGAGGGGCCUUUUCGUCCUUGGCAAGCCCGGUGUACUGUCUCAGUGCUGGUUGGAAAGAAUAUCUAUUUUUACCCUAUGGCUUCGCAAACACAACAGUACCUAAAGGGGGGCGGUAGCAAGUGCAGUCCCUGUCAUUAUUAAGUGCGUGCUUAGUGGCAAGCUCUCUGAUGUUCGCUUGAUCCUCAGCUUACAGCUUGACACUCAAGACACCAGUAAUUUGCUAAGGCCAAACAUCAGAUGAAGAAACAGUUCACAUUUGAUCAGGAUGACAGUAGUAGGAGUUGGGAAUUUGGAACCUACUAUAUCUAACUCCAGAUUAACUCCAGUGCUUAUAGUGGGUGUUGCUACACUUUCUUCUGAACAAGCUGGCG